rnacentral:rRNA from 1 species
UACGAAGGGGGCUAGCGUUGCUCGGAAUCACUGGGCGUAAAGGGCGCGUAGGCGGCGUUUUAAGUCGGGGGUGAAAGCCUAUGGCUCAACCACAGAAUGGCCUUCGAUACUGGGACGCUUGAGUAUGGUAGAGGUUGGUGGAACUGCGAGUGUAGAGGUGAAAUUCGUAGAUAUUCGCAAGAACACCCGUGGCGAAAGCGGCUCUCUGGAACGGUACUGACGCUGAGACGCGAAAGCGUGGGGAGCGAACAGG